rnacentral:snRNA from 1 species
GAGCACCGCACGUCGCGU